CGCUGAUCCAAUACUUGGAUAGGUGAUCCUUCAGGUUACUUGCAGCCACACAAAGUCAUCUAGCCUCUACAGAAUGUCCACACGAAGACCAGUGCAGAUUAGGCUCCUUGAAAGUGCUAGCUUACAAGGAUCUUCGAGGAUGAUUUCUCCCUUCUUCUUCAAAGCUCUUGGACACUUCAAAGGAAGAGAAGAUCUGGAGGA
rnacentral:lncRNA from 1 species